UAAUACGCCUGCCUCCCUAGAAUGAAGUCU
rnacentral:piRNA from 1 species